rnacentral:rRNA from 1 species
UACGGAGGGUGCAAGCGUUAUCCGGAUUCACUGGGUUUAAAGGGUGCGUAGGAGGGUAGGUAAGUCAGUGGUGAAAUCUUCGAGCUUAACUCGGAAACUGCCGUUGAUACUAUCUAUCUUGAAUACCGUGGAGGUGAGCGGAAUAUGUCAUGUAGCGGUGAAAUGCUUAGAUAUGACAUAGAACACCAAUUGCGAAGGCAGCUCGCUACACGAAUAUUGACUCUGAGGCACGAAAGCGUGGGGAUCGAACAGG